AGCUCCAAUAGCGUAUAUUAAAGUUGCUGCAGUUAAAAAGCUCGUAGUUGCAUUUCCGAGGCAAGGGAUUAGUCCGACCUUUGGUGGGUAUUUAAUCCUCUUGCCUCGUCCUUGAGUGGUGCUUCUUGGUAUUAAGUUAUCGAGGAGAUAGCCGCUCAUCGUUUACUGUGAGAAAAUUAGAGUGUUCAAAGCAGGCUUAUGCCGUUGAAUAUAUUAGCAUGGAAUAAUAAGAUAGGACCUGGGUACUAUUUUGUUGGUUUGAGAACCAAGGUAAUGAUGAAUAGGGACAGUUGGGGGUAUUCGUAUUCAGUUGUCAGAGGUGAAAUUCUUAGAUUUACGGAAGACGAACUACUGCGAAAGCAUUUACCAAGGAUGUCUUCA
rnacentral:rRNA from 1 species